rnacentral:lncRNA from 1 species
AGGCAUAUCCGGUGAAGUCUUCCAUACGUGCUCUUUCCUUUCUUGCCCUAGUUCUCCUACAUAUAGUCUAAAGGCAUGACCACCAAAUCAAUACAAUUGGCUUUUUUUCAUUUGAAACUCCAUCAUGAAACUGGUCAUAGUAUUGUCGUUGGCAUUCUAUGCUGUCAUUUCAAUCGGCAGCGCAGUUCGGGUUAUGAACACUGGUGGAUUCGGUGAGAGAGAGAGGGCGUCAUCGUAUUCUCCUCCUUCUCCACACCCCCAUCCCCCAAUCCACCCGUUGGAGGCUCCACCUCCGCAUUGUUUGUUCGAGCGUUCGGCCAAUGUAGCUUCUUCGAGCCCUCCACCUCCUCCAUCUUCGCUUUUGCCACUUUCUUCGGUAUCGCCUCCACUUUC